rnacentral:lncRNA from 1 species
UUAUGGAGUGGAGGUGGUGUGGAUUACUCGUGAUGUUUUUAUAAGCUGUUUGGACUCUCAUUCUGACGGCACCCAUUCACUGCAGUGGAUCCAUUGGUGAGCAAGUGAUGGAAUGCUACAUUUCGCCAAAUCUGUUCCGAUGAAGAAACAAACAAAUAUACAUCUUGAAUGACCAGAGGGUGAGUAAAUGAGGGUGAGUUCAGCAAAUGUUUCGAUUUAGGAUUUCUAUUCUUUAAAAAAGGUUUCUAAAGGGGCUUUUAACAGUGAUGCCAUAGAAGAACCUUUUUUUUGGCUCCCUAAAGAACCUUUUUCCUUUUUUUCUUUUUUUUUUCUUAGUGUGAAAAAUAUUUUAGUACUCUGAAGAGCCUUUUGUGGAAUUGAAAGGUUCCAUUAAUGUUAAAAAAAUUUUGUGGAACCAAAGAUGCCAAUAAAGAACCUUUAUUCUUAAGCAUGCAGAUUAAAGCAUUUAAUUGGGAGGGAAAACAAAUGACACCAGAAGGAUUUUCCUCAUUGCAUGUACUUUUAAGGAACAGAUCUUGAUAACAGUUCUGUUUUUAUUUCUUCUCCUUAAUGCAGAGCUUUUAUCUUCAAUAUGUGUCUCAAUUUAUCCAUGUAAUUUUUUUUUCUUUUUGUUUAUCUAUCUCUCAUUCUCUCUCCUCCACCUUCACGAAUGCAGCCGUCCAAAUAAGACACAAAGGCCUCAAAACACAACCAUAGCGACAGACAGAGAUCCAGCACAGAGCUUUUAAAGGAUCGGAAUCUUUGAGAGGGCAGAAGAAAGAAGCGUUCGGUGAUAAGGUGUACCUGUAUUUGUGAGGCAAUAAAGGAGAGGUCACAAACAACAGGAAGUGGAGCAGGGGGAGUGAAAGGUAAACAGGAACUGUUGUCAUAUGUGGAACUGAGACAGUGAUGAAUACAAGAAAACAAACACAUCUUUAUGUAGGUGUUCACAGGGCUCACGGUCUUCAAGCCACCAGCAUCUGAUAUCAUGCACAAGUUCUUGCUGAAGGACCUAAGUUCUCUUAGCCGGAGGCUUGAGCACCUGCACGCAGUGACCGCUGGUGGCUCUAGGACAAGAGGUUUGAUUGACAGCAGCCCCGGCUGGAGUGUUAUUCAUCAAGAGGAUGUAACACACACUGAUAGACGUCUUUAUACAGCUGUCAUUCCAAAGCUGUCUGUUCUUCAUCUCAGAGUAAAAAAAAGGUAAGUAUUAGUGACUUUAUUUCUGGCUUUAUGUUUUGUGACUAUGCCUUUGUAUCUCACAACUGACUAUUUUUCUUUUAAUACUGACUUUAGUAUGUUAUUUUAGUAUAGAUUAUAUUCUUAAUAAUAUUAGUUAUUAUUAAUAAUAUUAAUAUAUUAAUAAUUCUAUAAUUAAUAUUACUAGAAAAACCAUAUGAAUUUUACAUGUGACAUGUGACGUACAUAAUAGUAAUCAAAGUACUUAAACUUAAUUAUUUCAGUCAGUCGCCAAAGCAACAUUUCUCAUUUUCAUUAAAAUGUUUAAUUUUAAUUAAAAAAAAACACAUUAAU